GCCCCCGUGUCCCAAUCGGCAGAGGAAGGCGCCUUAAAAGCGCUGUGUUCCGGGUUCGAGUCCCGGCGGGGGCA
rnacentral:tRNA from 2 species